CAUGGCUUCUCACUGGCUGUGUCCUUGCCAGCAGAGGAGUCCUGUCUUCUCCCUGUUGGGCUCUGCUAUCUUCUCAGGCCGUGAGAGCUCCCCCAUUCUGGUCCCCCAAGUCUGUUUAGUUGAGGCUUCUGUUAAUUUUUUGCACACCCAUUCAUUUAUCAUUUCAAUGUCACUUCAGAUGACGUUUGAGGAUGUAAAGCACUGUGAUCAUAAGACUCUAAGUAGGGAAGUUCUCUGACAGUGUCACUCGCGUAGGAGAGGAAGCUCUGUCUGAAAUCGUUCGAGUCUGGACAUUGUGAUUAGUGCCCAAAGAAAAUCUGUGCAUUUGACUGCUACAGUGGGGAUGCUUUGAGUCACCCCCAGAGGAUGAGCCAUUGUGAAGUGAGUCAUUGUGAAGAUGGUGACUGCAGCCAUGCAAUUAAAAGAUGCCUGCUCCUUGAAAGAAAAGCUAUGAUCCAACCAGUCUAUUCUAAAGGAGAUCAGCCCUGGGUGUUCUUUGGAAGGAAUGAUGCUAAAGCUGAAACUCCAGGACUUUGGCCACCUCACGUGAAGAGUUGACUCAUUGGAAAAGACUCUGAUGCUGGGAGGGAUUGGGG
ensembl:lncRNA